rnacentral:tRNA from 5 species
GGGCCCUUAGCUCAGCGGUUAGAGCUGUCGGCUCAUAACCGAUUGGUCCCUGGUUCGAAUCCAGGAGGGCCCAC